rnacentral:tRNA from 1 species
GGUGGCUUAGUGGUAGAGCACUUGCCUGGCAUGCAUGAGGUCCUGGUUCGAUUCCUCAGCACCA